ACGAACGCUGGCGGCGUGCUUAACACAUGCCAGUCGAACGGAAAGGCCCUGCUUUUGUGGGGUGCUCGAGUGGCGAACGGGUGAGUAACACGUGAGUAACCUGCCCUUGACUUUGGGAUAACUUCAGGAAACUGGGGCUAAUACCGGAUAGGAGCUCCUGCUGCAUGGUGGGGGUUGGAAAGUUUCGGCGGUUGGGGAUGGACUCGCGGCUUAUCAGCUUGUUGGUGGGGUAGUGGCUUACCAAGGCGUUGACGGGUAGCCGGCCUGAGAGGGUGACCGGCCACAUUGGGACUGAGAUACGGCCCAGACUCCUACGGGAGGCAGCAGUGGGGAAUAUUGCACAAUGGGCGGAAGCCUGAUGCAGCAACGCCGCGUGCGGGAUGACGGCCUUCGGGUUGUAAACCGCUUUCGCCUGUGACGAAGCGUGAGUGACGGUAAUGGGUAAAGAAGCACCGGCUAACUACGUG
rnacentral:rRNA from 1 species